rnacentral:rRNA from 1 species
GACGAACGCUGGCGGCGUGCCUAAUACAUGCAAGUUGAGCGCUGAAGGUUGGUACUUGUACCAACUGGAUGAGCAGCGAACGGGUGAGUAACGCGUGGGGAAUCUGCCUUUGAGCGGGGGACAACAUUUGGAAACGAGUGCUAAUACCGCAUAAAAACUUUAAACACAAGUUUUAAGUUUGAAAGAUGCAAUUGCAUCACUCAAAGAUGAUCCCGCGUUGUAUUAGCUAGUUGGUGAGGUAAAGGCUCACCAAGGCGAUGAUACAUAGCCGACCUGAGAGGGUGAUCGGCCACAUUGGGACUGAGACACGGCCCAAACUCCUACGGGAGGCAGCAGUAGGGAAUCUUCGGCAAUGGACGAAGGUCUGACCGAGCAACGCCGCGUGAGUGAAGAAGGUUUUCGGAUCGUAAAACUCUGUUGGUAGAGAAGAACGUUGGUGAGAGUGGAAAGCUCAUCAAGUGACGGUAACUACCCAGAAAGGGACGGCUAACUACGUG